UCCCUGGGGGCUCAGAGGUUAAAGCAUCUGCCUGCAAUGCGGGAGACCUGGGUUCGACCCCUGGUUUGGGAA
rnacentral:tRNA from 1 species